ensembl:snoRNA
GGCCUCCGGGGGGCUUACCACAGGCUGUGUUCUUACAGUGACUGUAUAGAAAGAGGAGGCAGAGUAAACCUACCCCAUAUACACUUCAGCCCAGGUCUGUGCCUAGUCUGUAUUGUGAGUGGGGAGACAAGG